rnacentral:rRNA from 1 species
UACAGGGGGUGCAAACGUUGCUCGGAAUCAUUGGGCGUAAAGCGCACGUAGGCGGUCUGUUAUGUCGGAUGUGAAAGCCCUUGGCUUAACCGAGGAAGUGCAUCCGAAACUGGCAGGCUAGAGUACUAAAGAGGGUCGCGGAAUUCCCGGUGUAGAGGUGAAAUUCGUAGAUAUCGGGAGGAACACCUGUGGCGAAGGCGGCCAUCUGGACAACUACUGACACUGAGACGCGAAAGCGUGGGGAGCAAACAGG